GCGAACGCUGGCGGCAGGCCUAAUACAUGCAAGUCGAGCGGCCCUUCGGGGCAGCGGCGGACGGGUGAGUAACGCGUGGGAACGUGCCCUUUGGUACGGAACAACUGAGGGAAACUUCAGCUAAUACCGUAUGUGCCCUUCGGGGGAAAGAUUUAUCGCCAUUGGAGCGGCCCGCGUUAGAUUAGCUAGUUGGUAGGGUAAUGGCCUACCAAGGCGACGAUCUAUAGCUGGUCUGAGAGGAUGAUCAGCCACAUUGGGACUGAGACACGGCCCAAACUCCUACGGGAGGCAGCAGUGGGGAAUCUUGCGCAAUGGGCGAAAGCCUGACGCAGCCAUGCCGCGUGAAUGAUGAAGGUCUUAGGAUUGUAAAAUUCUUUCACCGGGGACGAUAAUGACGGUACCCGGAGAAGAAGCCCCGGCUAACUUCGUGCCAGCCGCCGCUGUAAUAC
rnacentral:rRNA from 1 species